GGCCGUCUGGUACUUUAUAGGCUGUGUUCUGACUACACAGGAAGAGGAGGCAGGGUAAAUCUAUCCGUAUACCCUUUAGCUAAGGUCCUGUGCAGUCAGUAUAUAAAUGAGGAGACUUGG
rnacentral:snoRNA from 1 species